GCCUUUUGUGACAAUAUUUUUUGGAUUCAAUCCUUUAAUAAAUCAGGUGGUUGACUACAAGGUCUCUUUCUGCAUGAUUAAAAUACAUACAAAUACCAAUAAACUCUUGACAAUGGAAAGACGUAACUGACGAGAGGUACUGAGGGAGAGGUUGGAAAGAGGAAGCUCUAUUGAAUAUUCCACCCAAUUUGUAGAUUGUAAGUGCCAUGUGGCAGCCCCAGGCUCGAGUUGAUUAUGUUGGUGUCACUGAACCUCCAUGGCCUUCCUCCUUGUGAAGCUAAUGCUAUUGAAUCUUCUCUCUUUUGGUUUUGGUCAUUGAUUUCAAUUUGAACUGUGUUUUUUAGGUAAUGUUUUGGUAUUUAUGCUUUAUUUUGUUCAAAAUGGAAACUUUGAAAUGAUCUUUGCUACAACCUAAAAUAUUUUGGGGUCGGGAUUAUCCAGGAAUUUAACCCUUUUCAUAUGAGUUCAAUUUGAGGGAAUUUAACUAUACAUUCCAUGCUUAUUGUUCAACCUGCUUUGAUGUAUACUUCAUUUAUAAUAUGGGAGAGCUGCAUUACCCAGCUAUUCCACUUUGGAUUGGGCAAGGAUGAAUGGACAGUUGAUAAAAGCCAUUUCUCCACGAGUUAUGGAAACAUAUUGAUAUGCAGCAUUACGGUAUCUAGGUACUCCUAAGAACGCUUUUCAUGUCCCAUAUGCAGUUUUGUGCUCUUGAUCUCAUUUUAUUAUGGCCCAACCUGCAAUUCUAUUUUGUUUUAAAAUUGAGUCAACAUAGUCCAGUUAUAGUGUAAAUGAGAGCCAUUUUGGGGCUGUUUUAUUACCAUUUCAAUGAGAUAGUGGAGUUAGUCUUGAGUUGGUAGGAGCUAUUGGAUAUCCUUGCCUUUCAAUGUUGGACAUUGAUUUUGUUUGUUAAGUCCGUUAAAACUUAAAACAGAGCAUCAAGCUCUCCUGCUUAUAGCAAUUCCUUACUUAUUUUAGUGCCUCUGUUUUCCAUCUUCUACAGCCUUCUAUCUUGUUUCUUUGAGGAGACUACCGAUGUAUUUCUUUCCAAGAAAACAUGCAACUCUAAACUCUCUUUCCUGCAGCAAAAGAAAAAGACAACUUAGAUAUCUAGAGAAAAGAUUAUUAUUGGGAAUUGAGAAGUUUACCACCCUCUGCUGCAAUCUCCUCUCUGAGAUAUCGGUGAAUAUCUACAUUCCUCUCUCAUCCCUCUUGAAUAUGCUGGAAUAUAGCAAACCAUUUAGGUUUUUGAUCUAUUUCAGUCAUUGUAUUUUCUCUAUGUAUUCAGUAGCUUCAGUUACUCAGUUAAAUCGGCUUUUGGUAAUAUUCAUUUGAUUGUGUAUUAGGUCCAGUAAAGAAUGCUAUUGGUGUAAGGAUGAUUAAAUCGAAAUCUUUGUGUCGCUUUCAUGUUCUUAGUAUCAUUAGUAAUAAUUUUUUGUCCUAAUAGACUUUACGAAUCCUGUUUUUCUCACUCGAUUCAGCCAUUAAUGUCCUUUUGCACUAAUUUUGAUAUUUUAGCUUGAGGUAAUUUUGUGCAUCGCCUUCCUGUUCAUUUUAACUUGAUUUUGCUUAGUCCUUUAAUGAGAUAAAUAUUUCUAGCAACACUGGAGUUAGUCAAGCACGCAAGAAGUUUAUGUGAAAAGUAAACUAUUGCAACAUCUCAUUUAUUGUUACUUCCUUUUCUUGGAUAUAUUAUUUCAUGUUACUCUAUUGGUUUACUGAUUUGAACUUGAUAUUUAGUUGUAAAUCAUUUAUAGUCUUUCCUUGUGAAUCCGCUUUUACUUGAUUUCAUUUACUAGGAACAUUAACUUUGCAAGUAUGCAGGAUUCAUAAGAAGAAUUUAGCGUCAAUUAGGAUUAUACUCUGGACUUACUCUUAAGGCUUUUCCGUGUUCUCUGAGUUAGUUUAGAACUUUAUUUAGUUUCUAAGGCAUGUAAUUUUACUUCUAUAGAGUAACUUGACAUUUGUAUUUGUUUUAAUGCCACGGAUACGUGGGAAUAUCUUAAGUGGUUUUUGGUGUUUCUGAUUUCUUAUGUUACUGGCCUGCAACAGUUUGAACUUUUUUUUUUGUUUAAAUAAAUAUUAAAUUGCUUAUCUUAGUUCUUUGAUGUAUAGACGAAAUUUUAACAUUGGAUGAGUUUGUGCAAAUACUUCUUCAUUGAAGCAUUGGCUUUUGUUGAGGUUGUUUAAAAAACAAGGCUAUCGCACUACCCAAAUCUGUCCAAUUGGAAGCUCGAAUCGGUCAAGUUCUUGGCAGGAAAGUUAAGGCUUCUGGGAUCCCUUCUGAUGAGAAAGUGAAGUUUGCAUAUGCAAUCAACAUAAGAAAGCUAGUCAAGCCACCACUACCAGCAGGAUACUGGGGAAUUCUGACCAAGGCUGAAGACCAUGUCGAUCAACCGAUAUAUAAAACAGCAGAAUUGAUCAACAAGAGCAAAUACAAUGUAUCUGAUGAAUAUGUUCGAUCAUUUAUCGAUUUUCAGGAGCUAAAUUAUCAUGAAGGGACCACAGUAGGAGCAAAGGUGAGUGGAAUUACUGAUUGGAGACACUUAGGCCAUCCACAGUGGACUUUGGUUGGGGAGGUCCUGUUACAGUUUUUCCUCUGUCAAGAAACCUGCUUGGAAGCGUUGAGCCCCGUUUCUUUUUGCCCUAUUCUUCAGCAAAUGAAGGGGAAAAGGAUGGUUGUAAACUUUCUGUGUGUUUGCAAGAACAUGCUGUUUCAGGUUUCAAAGAAGACAUGAAUAAGUUGAAGAAUUUAGAGCCUGGAUUCCUUUGAAUGAAGGGUUUCUUGUUA